UAGACGGGGCAGCAAUUUUNAUUNGAAAACCCGGGCUCAACCCCGGGACUGCAUUGNAAANUUUGAGCUAGAGUNUCGGAGAGGUAAGCNGAAUUCCUAGUGUAGCGGUGAAAUGCGUAGAUAUUAGGAGGAACACCAGUGGCGAAGGCGGCUUACUGGACGAUAACUGACGUUGAGGCUCGAAAGCGUGGGGAGCAAACAGGAUUAGAUACCNUGGUAGUCCACGCCGUAAACGAUGACUACUAGGUGUCGGGUAGCACAGCUAUUCGGUGCCGCAGCAAACGCAAUAAGUAGUCCACCUGGGGAGUACGUUCGCAAGAAUGAAACUCAAAGGAAUUGACGGGGACCCGCACAAGCGGU
rnacentral:rRNA from 1 species